rnacentral:rRNA from 1 species
CACGCCGUAAACGAUGAUAACUAGCUGCCAGGGCUCUUAGAGCUUUGGUGGCGCAGCUAACGCAUUAAGUUAUCCGCCUGGGGAGUACGGUCGCAAGAUUAAAACUCAAAGGAAUUGACG